AGGGAUGUGGCUCAGGGGUAGGGCAUUUGCCAAGCAUGCAAAAAGCCCUGGGUUUGAUCCCAGCACACAUA
rnacentral:tRNA from 1 species